UGCUACAUAUAAUAUCUGCUGUUCAUUCAUGGUACACUGAAUUGCACCAGCUUAUUAUUCUGCUAUUGCACUUUUACUGUACCCAGUAUGUUAAGCAUAUUCAACUUUCAAGAAA
rnacentral:precursor_RNA from 10 species